AUACUUACCUGGCAGGGCAUAUUACCAUGAUCAUGAAGGUGAUUUUCCCAAGGUGAGGCUUAUCCAUUACACUAUGGAUGUGAUGACACCUGCAAUUUUCCCAAGUGUGGGAAACUCGACUGCAUAAUUUGUGGUAGUGGGGGACUGUGUUCACACUCUCUCACU